GCAUCAUUUCCCUGUCUCAUAUUUACCUUAAGUGAUCAGUUGACCGCUGCUCCUUGAGCUGAGUGUUCCACUAUGUGUCACAGUAAAUGGCAUACAAUGGCUGCUAUUUACUGAGGUCCCUCUGUAAAAUUCUUCUUCCUCCAAGAGACACUGGGGAGGAUGCAGGAACAUGAGACAUGAGGAAGCUGAGUCUCAGAAAAGACCCACUUGGCACAAGAACUGAAAUGCUAUUCUUCUGAGUAUCAACUCCAAGUUUGUUUUGUUUUCGGCGGACACAACAUCUUUGUUUGUAUGUGGUGCUGAGGAUCGAACCCGGGCCGCACGCUUGCCAGGCGAGCGCGCUACCACUUGAGCCACAUCCCCAGCCCUACAGUCACUUUUUCAUCCAAAAAUUUAGCAAGUGUAGAGUCAGCUACUGGGCUUACUGUAUUUUGGAAUCCAUAUCCAACUCAAAGUCGUACCUCUCACAGCUCUCCUGGAUGGUUGUCUCACUCAACUUAUGUGGUUGCCUGGUAUCUCAAUGAAGGGAAACUAUGUUGAAACUGAAGAGGACAUGGCUAUCUAUGUAGCUUCUUUGUUCCCUUCUGGAUUUCCAAGUUUCCUAAAUGGGACAGGGCUUCCAGGAAAAGCAACAAAGAAGAUCUGAAAGCAGAUGGUGGUAAUGGUUGCACAGCAAUGAAAAUAUGUUAACACCACAGAAUGUACACUUAAAAUUGGUUCCAAUGCUCCACAGCUCAAUGGCUGCUGGCGGGAGGGAGGAGAAGACUUCUACUUAUCCAAGAAAGCUAAUGGACUCAGAGCCCUUCUUUCAAAUUAGCAGCUAGGUGUGACACCACUACUGUUCCAUCUUACAGAUGAAGAGACUGAAAUCCAGAGAGUUUAGUGUUUGCCAAGGUUUGCAAUUAGUUGCAAUGCUCCUACUUGCUCCACUCUAUUGCUUUUCCAGACUGCAUCUAGAACUUUACUCUGUAUUUAAGUUGACCGGAACCUGAAGGAGAAAAAAAAGAUGUAGCUGAAUUUGAACUAUAAAUAAAAGCAUUUGCUGGAUUUUGCAA